rnacentral:lncRNA from 1 species
ACUAUAAUCAUAAAAAAAACCCUUACCUUCGGUUAAUCAACAGAGAUCCUAAACACUUAAAUCGUUGAAGACCACUGUUCAGCCUUUCGAUUAACACCUAAAACCAACUGAAAUCCCUCUUAGUCAAUUAAUAAGCAAAAGAAUCGAUAGUCUAACAACAGUUCCAGGCUUACCAACCACGUACAACACAAUGAUAUGCAAUCCCGAACAAUUGAAUAGAAAAACGCAAGUGAAAGAGGAAAAAAGAAUAGCAAUUAAAAUUUUGGCAGCAACAAUGGGGAGUUGAGGGAAGAAAAACGAUAGAAAAUGGGGAAGAAAAGAAAAAGAAAACGGUGGAGCAAAAAGAAAACAAAAAACUAUGCCAAAUGACAGAAAUUGGGAGAAAGAUAACUCCACAAUCCCAUAUUUUCCUCCUAAAAUCACUCCAACACUCCAAUCCCAUAUUUCCCUCCUAAAAUCACUCUAACACUGCCCUACCACGCC